CCAUGGCACCCAAAAGGAACCUUGGCUGACUGUGUCCCAGUUACUGAUAUUGCAGGGAAAGGAUGCUGGGACACAUGUUCCCCAAGUUUGAGAGCAUCCAUUCUGACCCCUCCAAAGCCUGGAGCUUUUCUACA
ensembl:snoRNA predicted gene, 23893